UACGUAGGGGGCAAGCGUUGUCCGGAUUUACUGGGCGUAAAGAGCGUGUAGGCGGCCACGCAGGUCCGUUGUGAAAACUGGAGGCUCAACCUCCAGCUGUCGACGGAAACCGUGUGGCUAGAGUCCGGAAGAGGAGAGUGGAAUUCCUGGUGUAGCGGUGAAAUGCGUAGAGAUCAUGAGGAAGACCAGUGGCGAAGGCGGGUCUCUGGACAGUUCCUGACACUGAGACACGAAGGCCAGGGGAGCAAACGGG
rnacentral:rRNA from 1 species